ensembl:lncRNA
AAAUCUUGAAUCACAUGCAGGGUAGAUGAAGAAUCCUUCGGAGGUACAGCUUUGAUCAACUGAUCUGCUCCUCUUCUCUCAAAUUAAAAGAGGUUAAAGAAGCCAUAGCUACUGUAUUAAAAUACAAUAGAGAAUGAUAGGUUAUUUUUGUCUUUUAUUACAGCUUGUCAAUGGUGGUUGAGUUUUGGGCUGCAGAAUUGUAGACUGCUCCAAGAAAGCCAAGAGAAAUACUCUCUAAAUUAGCAGAUGCAGUGUUCUGUAUUUUGACUCUGGAGAGGGGUGGAUUUUUAAAUUCAAUUGUGUGUGAUUCCUAUUAGGAUUUCUGAACAUUUCCAGGAAUUGUUUUAUGAAAGUACCACCAUUUAGCACAAGAAAUGUUUAAACCACAGAUGCCUAUACUGCUACUGCUUGAUGUCAGUUUUUCUCAUGCGUUGUUCAGCUUUGUAAAGUAUUUUUACCAGGAAUCAAAAAAUGUUUUGUUUUGUCACAAACCAUCUUUUUACGCUUUGGUUUAAAACUCUUUAUAAGUUACUUGAUGAAAGUUUAAUAGAUGCACUUGUAUUAUUAAAUGACAACGAAAAUUAUAGAAGUGGAGUAAAAGUAUAGUUUUUCUUUUGAAAACUGCAAGUGGAAAGAUGCAAAUGCAAGGAAAUGGUAGAUACAUACUGGAAGCAUUAUAAAUUGGAAAAAAAAAAAAAAAAGAAGGAAAAUAGGGUAAAUACUGUGAUUUGAACUUAUCAGUGACAGUGCAAUGCAGGCAGCUCCCACAGCCCUGAACAUUACAGGUUGCAGCUGUUUGUGACUGAGUUUUCUUCUUGACGUCCCUUCAGGAAUCUGAAAAGUUGGAAGCAAUAUUGUUGCAGCAGUAGUCUUAUUUGUGUUGGAGGGAUCUGAGCUUUGCAUCUCCCUUCCUCUCUUGUUCUGAACAAGGACCAAGGAACUGAGGACAGUAGAUUCUGCCAUGGAAGCCACCACUCCCACUGUCAGGUAUGAGCUGCUUUUUGCAGCAUCCUCAAAGGCUGGAGGGAAUGUAAAACUUUCCUCCUUUAAAGUCCAAUUGAGGGAGGUGAAGACAUUUAUUUUUCAAAUGUUAAUAAAAUGAACUUUAUAUUAUUAUUUCAAUGGCUGAUUAAAAAUAUUAUUUAUACCAUACGAGUGCUUCUAUGCAUAUUAUAGGGUGUUUCAUUUGUGAUCCAGUUGAGAUAGAACAGCUUCAUUUCAUUUCACAUCCUACAGCAUGAACCAAAAUUAGUCACAGAACCCUAUGUAAUAUAAACACCAGUACCUCCGGGUAACGUAUACGUUUAUGGUUUUCUAUUCUAUAGAAAAGAGAGAUUUGUGUUUGCAAGGAUUCAGGAAAGUCCUGUGGCUUGUACUAAGCAGGAGGUCAAAAUAACUGAUCACUGUGGUCUCAUUGGUCUUAUACUCCAUGAGCCUAUAGUGAGUUAUACCAUGCAUAACUUAUGCAGCUUCCAUUCCACUAACUCUAGUGGUAGUGAACCCACUUACACUGGGAGAUGACUUUACCUAAUAUUCUCUCUUUCUCUCUAUUUACCAAAAUGGCCAAGUAAAUCUUACUAAUUCAAUUAACGUGGACAGGUUCUGAGCAUACUUCUCCAUAGAUUUUGUUAAUGUAAAUCAGUUUUGUUCUGGUCUUGCAGAACAGCCUCCAUGUGCAAAACUGUGCCAUACUCAGCAUUGACCAUAAAGCACUGAAGUAAUGGAACCGUGGAAUUGAACAGAGGUCAGCAAGCUCAGUUUUCUAAGUAAGCAUGUGUAUAGUACUAACACUAAAGGACAUCAGCUGUGUUAUUUGAAAUCACAUCUAACUCCAACUUUUUUCUAGAUAUGAAUCUGAAGUCAUAGAGGGACGUGUUUCCUUUGCCACACACUUCCUUGGGAUAUACUUAUUCUGGAGCCUCCAGUUUGUACUGGGGUCAAGUUCUUAGGCCACCAGUCUUAGUUUGCCUCAGUCUGGAUUAGUACUUGGCAAUAGUAACUGCUGCAGCUAAUUACAGUAUUAUCUCUUGCAGUAAUUGCUCUUGCACACAUCUUUCAUCUGGAAAACUUUCAGUAACUACACGAAUGUUACUGAAGUAUGA